CUAACCAGCAGUGCUAGAGCUACACAAGGUGCAAGGAGUUAAGGUGCAAUGCAUGCCAGGACCAUGUUAUGUGGACUGUGCUGGCCCAGCUGCUCAUAGGUGAGCAUGGUUAUGGAAGAAGUUAGCACCCGCGAAGAACUGAAAGACCAAUGACUUAUCCCUAGCCUCAGUAGGAGAGAGACAGGCAGGAUCUUAUCCAUGAGAGUUCCACCUUCUGCAUCCAUGGGCUACAACUGCACUCCCAUUGAAUUUCAGAGUUUCAGUCCCAAGUGCCAUCGGGUAAGUUUUGCCUAAGCUUUAAUUUGAAGGUUUUUGUUGUUAUUAUUUUUUAAUACAGUCUUAUAGGUAAUAGCUAUAUUCAGAAAUAAUACGCUGAAUGCUUUUCUACGCUACCUAGAGAUGUAAUGGUGUACCAAAAAAGCUGUAGUGAUUUUUCCUAAAGGAACUUGGAAACAAAACAGUAUGGCCAUUGUAUUUCAAACAUUAGAGCAAUUGUUUAGUACAUGUGGUGCAACCCUAAAUUUCUAUGUCAGAACAUGGUGCCAACUUCGAGUCUCCAUGAAUUAUGGUACUGUAGGCAUGCACAUGUUUAAACAAGUGCUUUCCUAUCUUCAGGUUAUAUAGUCGUAUUUAUGUGUAUGGUUUGGAAAAGCCAGACAAUGCUCUAACGCGAUAAAAGGGAACCUAAAACAUAUGCUCAAUUUUCACACCAUUGUACUUUUAAAACAAAGCAAAACCUAUUGUGGGGCUUGGGUUUUUCUCUAAGUACAUUGGCAUUUGUUGCACAUAAAUACUAAUAAUGUUUAUUCUUGUAUAUCAUAAAAACCUUGAAGUAGAAAAAAGAGACCUAGUAAAACAAAUACAGAUAGACAAAAAUAAUUCAUUGCUUGGAGUCGAAAGUAUUUUGUGUCAUAGCUUGUGUUAGUACAGUAUACUCAAAAACCUGUGACUCUAAACAUCUUUAAAUUACAGGUUUAGGCAGCCAAAAUAUUAGUGUAACUGGUUUUGGAUUCAACAGGCUACCUAGUGGCUUAACCUGCUACUGAAGGUCAGGAGAAUAUAAGUCAUCCUCCACAAUAGCUAGACAUCACCAGCUAUGCUUCUGGAGGUGUCCUGGAAAAUGAAACUGUGAAAACAUUCCAAGAGCUUCAGUGGGAUUAUUGUCUAUGACAAGAUCCUCUUUGACAAUACACAGACCUUGGUGCAUGUAAUACCCGAUAAAAAUCCAAGCUCCCCCUUGGGAGCACUCUGCUUGUUGUGUGCAGUCUUUCAAAUGGGUUUAUAAUAUGCGGAAUCAGCACCAUCAGGGACUAAAACUAGCUCACAGCUUCUCACCCACGUUCUCAGUUUAAGCAUUCAUUGUUCUUUUAAACAUCUUAUUUUCUUACUUUUAAAAAAGAGUUUCCCAUGUGGAAUAAUACCUAGCCCUGGAAGAUGCUAAUCAUUGUGCUGUAUUUCCCUUUAUGGACAAAACAGGUUAUCCUCUGGAAUUCUAUUUCUGAUUUUUUAAGUCACAAAAGUAAAAAUAUAUUUUCCUCUAAUAUUUAUUGCUCUUAUUGGAAUUACCGUAUGGAAACAAUGGCUGCGUAGAAUACUUAGGACACUGUGCAAGAUUAAUUGAUCGCAGAAUCACCGGUAUGCUCAAAGAGCAUUAGCUUUUCUCAAGAUAAGAAUAUUAUCACAAAUUAAAAGAGGACUGUAACAGGCGGUGCUGGCCCUUGAAACCAAGCUCUACGUCCACCCCCACACUACUGCUGAUUUCAGCCUAAGCCUUAUGUGCUAGAGCGCUGCGACGGAUGAUUACAUGUGAACAACAUAAUUCCCUAACGCAUGUGUGAUCAGAUAGUAUAAGAAAAGAGCAUCUCCCUGACUGGAAAACAUUUGGACUCGUGGCUGCUUUAGAAAUAAUCUAUACGAGAAACCUAAAAGGUAAGCAUGUUGUUUUGAUUAGAGAGCCAGACCUAGGAAAACAGCAAGAGGAAAGCUAAGGCUUCAUGGGAAAGUGAAGAAAGAAAACUGCAGAAGGAAAGGAGGCGAAAAGUUUGGUUUGUAACUGAAGAGGGCUUUUGUUCUUGUUAGUAUUAGAGGUUAGUAUUCUUUUCAGCUAUAAAGAAUAAUUUGGGUUAUGCUGAUCUUACAUCGCUGAGACAGGGAACUGGACAGAUUCUGGAGAAGAGAAGUGUGUGACUCAUGGAAAGAGUAACUAGUGAAGAACUUACUCGACUUGAACUCUUGCUUAUAGGGAUUUUAUUUACCCCUGGGGAAGGGUGAAAUUUUCCAGUUUGGCAUAGAGCUAAACUACUUUACCAGUGAGAGGGAACUCAAAAGCCUCCUUUGCUGAGAAGAUAAGCUUUCAUGUUACAGGAUAAAGGCUAACAUGUAAUGACGAUUAUUGCACAGCAAGAGAGGAAAAAGAGCCCUUAAAUCAUGUUUCUUUUAACUGUCAAAACUAGCUAAUGGAGUAUUUGACAUAAAUGUUUUAUUUAAUGUAAGACAAACCAUUACGCAUUUAUUUACAGCAGCAGACACUCUUACCAAACAAUUAAGAAAAAUUCUCCCUGCUUUGAGGAACCGAGAAACUCUAAUAGCUCUUUCAAGAAUAUGAUGCCUGAGUUCUUUUCAAAAAAAAAAAAACAAACAAAAAAAAAACUCGGGGAAUUCAGUUGAAACUCUUUUUUAUUUUUAUUCCUAAUGUUACCAGACAGGUGGACUAUUAUUCACAACACUUAAGGGCACUUUUUCCACUUUUACUGUGGAAACAUUUGGAAAGAGCUAAAUUCCAGAAAAUUACUUGCUAAAGAGGCUUAGUUUAUAUGCAAAUUCAACCUCAGCUAAUCUGUACAAACAUGUUGUAAUAGAAAGG